rnacentral:rRNA from 1 species
AAUGGGGGAAACCCUGAUGCAGCAACGCCGCGUGGAGGAUGACGCAUUUCGGUGUGUAAACUCCUUUUAUAAGGGAAGAUAAUGACGGUACCUUAUGAAUAAGCACCGGCUAACUCCGUGCCAGCAGCCGCGGUAAUACGGAGGGUGCAAGCGUUACUCGGAAUCACUGGGCGUAAAGGAUGCGUAGGCUGUAAUAUAAGUCAGAAGUGAAAUCCAACGGCUUAACCGUUGAACUGCUUUUGAAACUGUUUUACUAGAAUAUGGGAGAGGUAGAUGGAAUUGGUGGUGUAGGGGUAAAAUCCGUAGAUAUCACCAGGAAUACCGAUUGCGAAGGCGAUCUACUGGAACAUUAUUGACGCUGAGGCAUGAAAGCGUGGGGAGCAAA